rnacentral:rRNA from 1 species
GACGAACGCUGGCGGCGUGCUUAACACAUGCAAGUCGAACGGAAAGGCCUUUUCGGCGGUACUCGAGUGGCGAACGGGUGCGUAACACGUGGGUGAUCUGCCCUGCACUCUGGGAUAAGCCUGGGAAACUGGGUCUAAUACCGGAUAGGACCGCACUUUAGUGUGUGUGGUGGAAAGUUUUUUCGGUGUAGGAUGAGCCCGCGGCCUAUCAGCUUGUUGGUGGGGUAAUGGCCUACCAAGGCGGCGACGGGUAGCCGGACUGAGAGGUUGGUCGGCCACAUUGGGACUGAGAUACGGCCCAGACUCCUACGGGAGGCAGCAGUGGGGAAUAUUGCACAAGGGGCGCAAGCCUGAUGCAGCGACGCCGCGUGGGGGAUGACGGCCUUCGGGUUGUAAACUCCUUUCGCCAGGGACGAAGCGUUUUGUGACGGUACCUGGAGAAGAAGCACCGGCUAACUACGUG